AUACGUAGGGGGCGAGCGUUGUCCGGAAUUACUGGGCGUAAAGGGUGCGUAGGCGGCCGAUUAAGUUGGAUGUGAAAUACCCGUGCUCAACAUGGGGGGUGCAUUCAAAACUGGUUGGCUAGAGUACAGGAGAGGGAAGCGGAAUUCCUAGUGUAGCGGUGAAAUGCGUAGAUAUUAGGAGGAACACCAGUGGCGAAGGCGGCUUUCUGGACUGACACUGACGCUGAGGCACGAAAGCGUGGGGAGCAAACAGGAUUAGAUACCCUGGUAGUCCCAGCUGUAAACGAUGAAUACUAGGUGUAGGGGGUAUGAACUGCAUCUGUGACGCAGCAAACGCAAUAAGUAUUCCGCCUGGGGAGUACGGCCGCAAGGUUGA
rnacentral:rRNA from 1 species